UGGUCUUUCCUAUGUGGACUUGGAUGCUGCCGUUGGAUCUCAAUGGCUCGUCUGAAAUGCUUCAGUGUACCCUGCUUUGCGGCGUAUUCGGUGUGAUACAUCUUCACCGGAGUUGAUCCUUCUGGGUCACGUCUGUAACAAGUAUGGCUCUACGCUUCCAACUGUCUGUGACAAGACAAUACUCUGACAAUUUGACCUCAAAUCGGGUGGGACUACCCGCUGAACUUAAGCAUAUCAAUAAGCGGAGGAAAAGAAACUAACAAGGAUUCCCCUAGUAACGGCGAGUGAAGAGGGAAAAGCUCAAAUUUUGAAUCUGGUGUCUUUGGCGCCCGAGUUGUAAUCUAGAGAAGUGUUUUCCGUGUCGGACCGUGCACAAGUUCCCUGGAACGGGGCGUCAUAGAGGGUGAGAAUCCCGUAUAUGGCACGGACUGCCGAUGCUCUGUGAUACACUCUCAACGAGUCGAGUUGUUUGGGAAUGCAGCUCAAAAUGGGUGGUAAAUUCCAUCUAAAGCUAAAUAUUGGCGAGAGACCGAUAGCGAACAAGUACCGUGAGGGAAAGAUGAAAAGCACUUUGGAAAGAGAGUGAAACAGUACGUGAAAUUGUUGAAAGGGAAGCGUUUGAAGUCAGUCAUAUCUGGUGGGAUUCAGCCUGGCUUUUGCCUGGUGUACUUUCCGUCCGAUGGGUCAGCAUCAAUUUCGACCGAGGGAAAAAGAUGUGGGGAAUGUGGCUGUCUUCGGGCAGUGUUAUAGCCCCACAUUGUAUGUCUCGGUUGGGAUUGAGGAACGCAGCGCGCCACUUGGCCAGGGGUUCGCCUCUUGACACGCGCUUAGGAUGCUGGCAUAA
rnacentral:rRNA from 1 species